rfam:Leptolyngbya sp. Heron Island J, whole genome shotgun sequence.
CCUAGCCAGUGUCUAGGCUAGUUCCCAAUCGGUCCAUGCGUCGGUGGUAACAACGGGGUGUGAAGCAGCUGAUAAAGCCCAAGGAAGCCUGCAACCACAAGCCGGUGACCGGG